CCUACGGGAGGCAGCAGUGGGGAAUAUUGCACAAUGGGCGCAAGCCUGAUGCAGCCAUGCCGCGUGUAUGAAGAAGGCCUUCGGGUUGUAAAGUACUUUCAGCGAGGAGGAAGGUGCUGUGGUUAAUAACCGCAGCAAUUUACGUUACUCGC
rnacentral:rRNA from 1 species